UACGUAGGGGGCAAGCGUUGUCCGGAUUUAUUGGGCGUAAAGAGCGUGUAGGCGGCCAUACAGGUCAGCUGUGAAAACUCGAGGCUCAACCUCGAGACGUCGGUUGAAACCGUAUGGCUAGAGUCCGGAAGAGGAGAGUGGAAUUCCCGGUGUAGCGGUGAAAUGCGCAGAUAUCGGGAAGAACACCAGUGGCGAAGGCGGCUCUCUGGGACGGUACUGACGCUGAGACGCGAAAGCGUGGGGAGCGAGCAGG
rnacentral:rRNA from 1 species